AUCACACGCAGAGUACUUGUAAAAGACAAACCAGAUGAACUCGAAAAAUGAAGUAAAAACUCUUGCAAGAAAAGGAAUUGACGAAAGUAUAUUAAUGUCUGAUGAACCUAAUCUUGGAAGUUAUCUUCUUUAGAUAAUCAUUUAGAUAAUUGGUACAUCCAUAAUGUGUAUUGUCAUUGAAUUUGUAGCUGGCUUAGUCAGAGACACAAAGAAAGAUAAGAAAGAUGAAAAUAUUCACGAAAUUAAAAAAAGUAUUUUCAUUACUGGUUAAACAAUUAUUCUUUUCUUGAGAAAUUAUUGAUUUUUGUUGUACUCCCAAUGUAUUUAGUAUAAAUCAUGAUACUUUUUGUAUGAGAACCAUGUUCACCUUAAUUAGUAACAUUUUAAUAUUCUUCAUGCAUUUUAAACAACAAAUUGCAAUCAAAAUAUAUCAUCAUUAAAGUUUUGUA